CGGGACUGCCGGUCUUAAGCCGGAGGAAGUGGGGGAUGAUGUCAAGUCAGCAUGGCCUUUAUAUCCUGGGCUACACACACGCUACAAUGGCCAACACAAUAGGUUGCUAAGCCGCGAGGUGGCGCCAAUCCAUAAAGUUGGUCUCAGUUCAGAUUGUAGGCUGCAACCCGCCUGCAUGAAGAUGGAGUUGCUAGUAACCGCAGGUCAGCUAUACUGCGGUGAAUACGUUCCCGGGGCUU
rnacentral:rRNA from 1 species